rnacentral:lncRNA from 1 species
CACCCAAAAAUGUGUUUGGGUACAAAAGGGGGGAUAACCCCCUUAUCCCCCCUCUUGUACCCAAUUCAAACACUUGCUCAGGGUCUGGAUCCUUUGUAUAAAAUUUUCGGGUGAAACCUUUGGGAUCCGAAUCUUUCCAUAGAGCCCGAAUCCUAAAAAUUGCUCUAUUACUCACGUGGUUUCCCAAUCCUUUUUCCGUUUCCUUUCGUCAUCCCUUCCCAUCUCUCCUGUCUUCUCUCUCCCUCUACACCAUCCUCCCUUCCCAUCCACUUCUCUCCUUCCUCACCCUUUACUCCGUCCUCCCUUCCUGUUGCCUCCUCUACUUUCUCUCCCUCUACUACGUCGACCCUUCCUAUUCUCUCCCCUCAUCCCUCUCCCUCUACACCCUCCGACGACGACAAUGACGUUGGCACCGUCGAUGCUGCCGCCGCUACUAACGAGAUGUCAAUGACGACGACACCAAUAUUGGCAAUGACGAUGCCGGCCGAUGUCACUGAUGCUGCCGUUGCCCGGCGAUGCCACUGAUGCUGCUACUGUUAACGACGAUGACAACGGCACUCUUCCUAACUGUCAUGGUGGCAGGAGAAAUAAUAGUAAGAGAAAAGGAUUGGAGCAGCGGUGAGCGUCGAUGGCGGUAGCAAUAGUGUGUGAUGGUGGUGGAGAUGGAGUAAGAGAACAAGGAGAAAAAGGAGACGAUCAACGCUGUUGACUUAGGAGUUGUGGAAAAAGGGAUAGGGAGGGGGAGUCUCUUUGUGCGCAAGGGAUAGGGUGCUAUU